rnacentral:rRNA from 1 species
AAACCGUUCGGGGGUAAACGGACAGAGCCCGUGAAUCCGGGCGGCGGAAUUCAGAAUCGACGGGCGCCGUGUUCGCGCGCGCGCGUUCGUCGGUUCGAUAUUUCCGUCGCCGUGUUUGCAACUACGGACGUCGCGACCCGUUCGGUGUCGGUCUUCGGGAGACGCGUGAAAGUUCGCGAGCGCGUUGCGGCGGCGAGCCGUUUCGGCGGUUCGAUGCGCGCGCGCGCGUUCGCGAGUACGCGUUCUUUUUUUCUGGCCGACUCGCCGGACGGUACGCGUAACGGUGACCGCGGCGGCCUUACGAGCGCCGUCGCUUACGGUACCGGUCCGCGACGAAUCUUCGGGCCUCUUUCCGA